rfam:Dipodomys ordii contig_33625, whole genome shotgun sequence.
GAGGGGCUGGCUCACUGGUAGAGCGCUUGAUUUGCAUGCAUGAGGCCCUGGGUUCGAUUCCUCAGCACCACA